GCCCAAGUGGCGGAAUGGUAGACGCAGGGGAUUCAAAAUCCCCCGCCGCAAGGCGUGCCGGUUCGAGUCCGGCCUUGGGUA
rfam:Oceanibulbus sp. HI0023 HI0023_c184, whole genome shotgun sequence.